GCUGCUGCUGCUGCUGCCGCUCAAUAGUCUCUGGCGAGCAGCGUCAGCAGAUCGCCAAUGUACGCCUGCGCCAUUUGCAGCGUCUCGUAC